AUUGAACGCUGGCGGCAUGCCUUACACUUGCAAGUCGAACGGCAGCACGGGUGCUUGCACCUGGUGGCGAGUGGCGAACGGGUGAGUAGUACAUCGGAACAUGUCCUGUAGUGGGGGAUAGCCCGGCGAAAGCCGGAUUAAUACCGCAUACGAUCCACGGAUGAAAGCGGGGGACCUUCGGGCCUCGCGCUAUAGGGUUGGCCGAUGGCUGAUUAGCUAGUUGGUGGGGUAAAGGCCUACCAAGGCGACGAUCAGUAGCUGGUCUGAGAGGACGACCAGCCACACUGGGACUGAGACACGGCCCAGACUCCUACGGGAGGCAGCAGUGGGGAAUUUUGGACAAUGGGCGAAAGCCUGAUCCAGCAAUGCCGCGUGUGUGAAGAAGGCCUUCGGGUUGUAAAGCACUUUUGUCCGGAAAGAAAUCCUUGACUCUAAUACAGUCGGGGGAUGACGGUACCGGAAGAAUAAGCACCGGCUAACUACGUG
rnacentral:rRNA from 1 species